rnacentral:rRNA from 1 species
UCAAAGGAAUUGACGGGGGCCUGCACAAGCGGUGGAGCAUGUGGUUUAAUUCGAUACAACGCGCAAAACCUUACCAGCCCUUGACAUAUGAACAACAAAACCUGUCCUUAAUAGGAUGGUACUGACUUUCAUACAGGUGCUGCAUGGCUGUCGUUAGCACGUGUCGUGAGAUGUUUGGUCUAGUCCCAUAACGAGCAAAACUCUCGUUUUGUGUUGCUGAGACAUGAAAUUGCCACCGAGUGACGUGCCAGCGCUACUACUUGAUUGAGUGUCAACACGUAGCUGUGCUUUCAGCAAGAAUUUCACCAUUGGGAGCCAGUGCCUUUCGAAGCACUUUCACGUGUGAACCAAAGUCUUCUUGCGCAAGACCCACGGAGACCUACCUAUAGUGACAUCAAAAUACCAGUGAGCAUGGAGGUUUGGUUGAAAUUGGUAACGACGACGUCGAGUUGGCGGCGGAGGAAGACUCUGCAUGAAGGCCAGAAAAUGGUGUGGAACGUAGUGGUAAUAGUACGCGCCCCGCUCCGAAACAAAGAAAAAGGUGCGUGCCGCACUCAUGAGGGACUGCAGUGACAUACUGGAGAAAGGUGGGGAUGACGUCAAGUCCGCAUGGCCCUUAUGGGCUGGGCCACACACGUGCUACAAUGGCAAUGACAAUGGGAAGCAAGGCUGUAAGGCGGAGCGAAUCCGGAAAGAUUGCCUCAGUUCGGAUUGUUCUCUGCAACUCGGGAACAUGAAGUUGAAAUCGCUAGUAAACACGGAUUAGCAUGCCGCGGUGAAUAUGUGCCCGGGCCCUAUACACACUGCCCGUCACACCCUAGGAAUUGGUUUUGCCCGAAACAUCGGACCAAUGAUCACCCAUGACUUCUGUGUACCACUAGUGCCAUAAAGUCCUUUGGUAGUCUUAUUGGCGCAUACCACGGUGGGGUGUUCGACUAGAGUGAAGUCGUAACAAGAUAGCCGUAGGGGAACCUGUGGCUA